AGUGAACGCUGGCGGUAGGCCUAACACAUGCAAGUCGAACGGCAGCACAGUAAGAGCUUGCUCUUACGGGUGGCGAGUGGCGGACGGGUGAGGAAUACAUCGGAAUCUACUUUUUCGUGGGGGAUAACGUAGGGAAACUUACGCUAAUACCGCAUACGACCUACGGGUGAAAGCAGGGGAUCUUCGGACCUUGUGCGAUUGAAUGAGCCGAUGUCGGAUUAGCUAGUUGGCGGGGUAAAGGCCCACCAAGGCGACGAUCCGUAGCUGGUCUGAGAGGAUGAACAGCUACACUGGAACUGAGACACGGUCCACACUCCUACGGGGAGCAGCAGUGGGGAAUAUUGGACAAUGGGCGCAAGCCUGAUCCAGCCAUACCGCGUGGGUGAAGAAGGCCUUCGGGUUGUAAAGCCCUUUUGUUGGGAAAGAAAAGCAGCAGGUUAAUACCCCGCUGUUCUGACGGUACCCAAAGAAUAAGCACCGGCUAACUUCGUG
rnacentral:rRNA from 1 species